rnacentral:rRNA from 1 species
AUUGAACGCUGGCGGCAUGCUUUACACAUGCAAGUCGAACGGUAACAGGCCUUCGGGUGCUGACGAGUGGCGAACGGGUGAGUAAUGCAUCGGAACGUGCCCAGAGGUGGGGGAUAACGCAGCGAAAGCUGUGCUAAUACCGCAUGUGAUCUGAGGAUGAAAGCGGGGGACCAGGCAGCAAUGUUUGGCCUCGCGCCUUUGGAGCGGCCGAUGUCAGAUUAGGUAGUUGGUGGGGUAAAGGCCUACCAAGCCGACGAUCUGUAGCUGGUCUGAGAGGACGACCAGCCACACUGGGACUGAGACACGGCCCAGACUCCUACGGGAGGCAGCAGUGGGGAAUUUUGGACAAUGGGCGCAAGCCUGAUCCAGCAAUGCCGCGUGCGGGAAGAAGGCCUUCGGGUUGUAUACCGCUUUUGUACGGAACGAAAAGGCUCUGGCUAAUACCUGGGGCUGAUGACGGUACCGUAAGAAUAAGCACCGGCUAACUACGUG